GGGGAGGCUGCAAACAGCGCUGCAAAACAAGUGCCUGUUUCUUCACUGCUGUGUGACAACUUGGAACUGGUUGGAAGAAUCACUUGCUGCAGCCCCUAAUCAUUUCGGUCGCCCAUUUCUGCAUUUUCCAGCUCUACAAUAUCCUUUGUGAGGUACUGAAGACAAUAUUUCAAGUAUAAUUGCACCACAGGUAGAAGACAAGGAUCUAUGCACACCUCCUCUCUGCAGAGUCUCAUCUGACAAUUUUGGGAAAGAUACCAGCCAUCCCUGUAGAAAUCCUUCAAGGGGAAAUAUAUCACAUCUCUCUUUCUGCUGGUAAUGGGCAAGAAAAAAACAGCUAUGUGAAUAAGAACACACCAUUGAUUUAACAUCGGAAGACAACCUAUCAGGAAAGCUUUGGAGUGCAACAAAUACUCAGCAGACCAAAGACUGCCAAUCUAUUUCUAAACAUCCACAGGACAAGCAGAAUCUGAGCCUCCUCCCCCCUUUUUUUAAAAAAAGAAUUCUGAAUUGCCAGGAAGUGUUUACUCAAACAUUGAAAAAAACUGUCCAUACCUUGUUGAAGAUAGCCAGCUAUUAUCAAAUCAUUGUAAUUGUUUGGGACAGUGAGUUCAGCAUAGAUACUGUAUAACCAAAUAUGUACCUACAUGUAUACUUAGAAGUAAGCCCCAUUAAGUUCAACAGGACUUACUCCCAAGUAAGUAUGUUUAGGAUUGCAGUCUUAUUCACAGUAUUAUCUAGCAGCAUACUGUACCAAUGCACAACCACUGAUUUCUUUGUUCAAAAUGGUUUUGCAUUUGACACACUUUUAAGGCACUACAGGAAUACUUCAAGCUGCCCUUGAGAAAGCAUCAAUGGUUUUUCAGAUCUAUGCAUAACAGCCAAGGUUUAAAUUUUUACUCACACUUAACUACAAAGUACAUUUUAACCUACAUUCGUAAACAGUCAUUUGGCUGGUUUUCUAUGAUAUGCAAGUAUUGCUCUAAGCAACCAGGCAGAAAAACUUUUGAACAUGGAAAGCAAGGGGGGGAGAGGGGUCCCUUUCAAGCUGUAAAUGUCCCCAAAUCUAAUAUGCAUGGGUUAAUUUUUUGUGGACUGGUAACUUCUUUAGAAUUAUUUGCAAGACUCUUUUAAACACCAAAGUGCUGGUUUUGCUGGGUAGAAGAAGAUAAAGAACUGCUGAAAGAAAAAUUAACACAUCAACCAACUACACAACCUCCAUCACACACAGUAUGAACUUGAUGGUUCCCACGCACUGAAUUCUGGGUAGCCAAUAGGUAUAUACAGAUGCAAAGCAGAUUGCACUGGCAAACGCAAGUCUGCAUUUCUAUUUAAUCAUUUUAGACAAAUAAGGCAGAAAUGUGGUAAAAUGUGGUACUGUCAAUACUAUAUUGUACUGCUUCUGUUGCAACAGCACAAAUGUUACAUGCUACAAAGUCCCACAGGCUUCCAAAAAUGUACAGAGUGCAGUGAUAUAUUUAAUCUUUUUACAGAAAAAAGAUACCUGCAGCAAACAACCUAGCAGCGGUAUUCUUAUUACUAUUCUAUAUAUUUCUGCAUCAAGAAACAAAACAAAGUUCUACAUAAAAAUAUGUCUUAAGCUCCCCCUUGUGGACUACA